GUGUGUGUGUGUGUGUGUGUGUGUGUGUGCCUGGCAAGGAGUGAGGGGCAGCCCAGGGCAAGGCCGAAGGAACGCUUCCCAGCUGGGAGAUGGAUAGAACGGGGGCGGCUGCGUUAUCUGCCCAGGCAGAGGAGACGGGGUAGUCGCCUCCGUCCAGUUUGGGAGAUGUGUGGGGUGGGGAAAGGUUGAGGGAGAUAACUUUGGCAGGGGAAGCUGGUCAUUAUCAGCACGUUGUCAAGGUGCACCGGAGGGAGUCUCCCGAAGGAAAGAAAAAUGUGUUUCAGUCUAUUUCAGGCUUUACCCCAGAGGUAAAUCCAGCUAAGCCUUGACAUGACUUCAUACCUUUUGAAGGACAAGGCCCAGGCCUUAGAGGCCCAGGCGCUCCCUACUGAAAUACGACCCUCCCCAUCUCUGGCAAUUUUUAAAAAGCACUUGAAAACCCACCUCUCCAGCCAAGCUUUUCCAGCUUUUUAAAUUUUUAAGUUUUAACCUGUUUUUAAUUUUUAUAUUGCCUUGAUUGUUCUAAGAUUUUGGUAUGUUUUAACUUGU